AACGGCGACCGUUGGAAUCGCAUCGGGUUUCUCUUUUUGGAUUUUUCGAUUUUUUAACAUAAAACGUGAACAAUACGAUUAAACACACAAUACAGAAAUAAAAAAUGCGAGAAAGUAAAUUAUUACAACACAGUUAGCUAUGAAUAGUUAGUAUUACGAAUAGUUAGUGGAGUUAAUCGAGCUGAAACUGAAACGAAACGGUUAGUAACAACAUAAACAAAUAUAAAAAAACA
rnacentral:lncRNA from 1 species